UUGGAGGGCAAGUCUGGUGCCAGCAGCCGCGGUAAUUCCAGCUCCAAUAGCGUAUAUUAAAGUUGUUGCAGUUAAAAAGCUCGUAGUUGAAUUUCGGGAUUAGUAAGUUGGUCGUGCCUCUGGUACGUACUGGCUUUACUGGUUCCUCCUUCUUGAAGAACUGUAAUGUCAUUAAUUUGGUGUUGCAGGGAAACAGGACUGUUACUUUGAAAAAAUUAGAGUGUUUAAAGCAAGCUAGCGCUUGAAUACAUUAGCAUGGAAUAAUGAAAUAGGACGUUUGAUCCUAUUUUGUUGGUUUCUAGGAUUGACGUAAUGAUUAAUAGGGAUAGAUGGGGGCAUUAGUAUUCAAUUGUCAGAGGUGAAAUUCUUGGAUUUAUUGAAGACCAACUACUGCGAAAGCAUUUGCCAAGGAUGUUUUCAUUAAUCAAGAACGAAAGUUAGGGGAUCGAAGACGAUCAGAUACCGUCGUAGUCUUAACCAUAAACUAUGCCGACUAGGGAUCGGAUGAUGUUAAUUUUUUAAUGACUCAUUCGGCGCCUUACGGGAAAC
rnacentral:rRNA from 1 species